AUACUCUGGUUUCUCUUCAGAUCGUAUAAAUCUUUCGCCUUUUACUAAAGAUUUCCGUGGAGAGGAACAAUUCUGAGUCUUACACUAAUUUUUUGAGGCCUUGCUUUAGCAAGGCUAUUAAUAAUGUUUAAAGUUAGAAUUAACAGUCUUUAUUGUGUGCUCUAUGUAUUUUCUUGUCUUCAGUGUUAACCACUGUAAGGUAAAAAUGGCUUGAGCUUAGGCUAAAGAGACAGCUCAUUGGUUAAAAGGGCUCAGUCGCAUGGCGUUGUGUCUCAUAACCGAUAAAGUAAAUAAGCCUUUAAAAGCAAAUACUAAGUUUUUGUGGGAAGUCUGUAGACAUGUUAUUUAUUAAGCUGUUUUUUAUCUAGCUGCGUUAUGUUGUGGUCUCAGUGAACAUAUGUAUAAACCAUUAUUUUUAAUAUUUUAUUUAAGUGCAAGGUGGUUAUGGACUUAAGGCACGUACAAUUUUCUAGCAAGAUGGCUAACCCAGCUCUGUAGCUGAGGAAGAACUAGCGCCCCCUUCUGACUUCCAUCAGUGCCAAGCAACGCUCAGAUACGCAGGCAAAAUAUUCAUACAAAUAAAGGCAGAUACAUUCUAAAAAAUAAAUGCAGCCACUCGAGCAGAAGGGACAGGUUACCCUCAGAGCUGUGGGAGGGGCUAGACUAUGAUGCAAUUCCCCAUCUCCCCCCAGUCCCUCCCCCCCCAAAAAAAUGAAAACUACUCUCCCACCCAAGACCUUUCCCUUAAGGACAGAGACUGUCCCUUUGAAAUACCUCAGUCUCCUUAUAGCUAAAAUACCUCAGUAAUAAGAACAGGUAACAAGGGGGCUGGAGAGAUGGCUCAGUGGUUAAGAGCACCGACUGCUCUUCCGAAGGUCCGAAGUUCAAAUCAGCAACCACAUGGUGGCUCACAACCAUCCGUAAUGAGAUCUGACUCCCUCUUCUGGUGUGUCUGAAGACAGCUACAGUGUACUUAGAUAUAAUAAUAAAUAAAUCUUAAAAAAAAAAAAAAAGAACAGGUAACAAAGUGGCAGGAACUUCAAACACAGAAUGCCCUCGGUCUGCUUGGCAAAGCAUCUUUGGCUCUGCCCACCAAAGUACACUGGAAAGGAAGUUGAACUUUCUCUCUUCCUGGAACAGACUUGAAAUCAUGGAAAGGCUCUUGGAUGUCUCCUGGAUGGGCUACUGCACUGACCAGUUCAUUGCCUGCUUCACGCCUCACUUCUGUUUCUACAAAAUUCCCUGGGAUAAACGCUCCACAGUGCCCCACCUGGGGCCUACUUCUGCUGGAUAGGAGCUCCCACAACUCCCACCUGUAACCCUAUAACAAAUCUCCCUUCUAACCUCUCGGAAAUUCCUUCUCUGCUUUGCAAAACAAAGGACCUGAAAGCCAACGGUUUGGGUGCCUCUAGUGGCCAUUGGAUAGCCUGACACCUUAACACUCCAAGCUAUCCAUGACUGAAGCAAGAAAGUUUCCAAAGAUACUUUCCCACUUUUCUUUAUCAUCCUCAGUGUCAUCAAUAGGUGAGGGCGGGAGUAUAGGGAGUUCACGGUCCAGCCUGGGAUACCUGCCUAAAGAAAACAAUAAAAUAAAGAAACAGGAUGGACAUACCAUGGAUAGCCGAACAUGUCCAGCAGAGAACAAAAGAGUGUUCAUAAUUGCAUCAGUUGCUUUCCUGUUGCUGUGAUAACAAAACCAAAGAAAAGUUCAUUUUGGCUAGGAACCCAGAGAGAGAAUCCAUAACAGUAGGGGGAGGCAUAGCAACAGGGGGAUGGAGCAGAAAGCAGAUCACAUCUUCACCUUUAAACACAAUGCAGAGAGAAUAAACCGGAAGCAAGGAAAGGCUAUAAACUCUCAGAGCCCACCACCCCCCAAUCGACAUCCUUCUGCCAACACAGUCAGACCUAAAGGUUCCGUAUCAGUCCCCUACCCAGCACCACUAACUAGAGAUCAAGUGUUCACUCACCCAAGCUCACCAGGGACAUUUCUCCUUCAACCCACCACAAUAAUGGAAUUUGAUUCUUCUGUGGAUAAUUGUAGGCUUGGGUUGACCUCUAAGGGUUGUUUUAAGGUUUACAAAUUCAUGAUAACACAUGGAGAACAUGUUAGAUACAUAUUUAGUUUUUUAAGUGUUGGCCUCACUGUCUGCUCCUGAUCCAUGGAUAAAAUAUAAUUGAAGGAAAACCAAAGCAAGACUUCUUGCUUGGGAGAAGAGUGGUCAGAUGUAAGGAACACUGUAGGUCAGAGAACACCACCGCUAACCCAAGGUCCAUUCUAUACAUUUUAGGUAGGAUUUCUGUUGCUAUGAUAAAACGCCAUUAGUCAGGAUUCUCUAGAGACGCAGGAAUCACAGGAUGUCUCUAUAUAUUAAGGGAAUUUGUUGUGAUAACAACGGGCAGCUGUGAAUGGGAAGUCCAAGCAUCUAGUAGUUGCCACGAGGCUAGUUAUUUAAGCUGGUCUUCUGUAGAAGUAGGUUUCAACAGACGUACUGGCAAGAGCAAGCAGUUGAAGAAGAGUGAAUCUUCCCUCUUCC
rnacentral:lncRNA from 1 species